CGAGUUUUUCUCAAUGGGGGCAACCCUGAAGGAGCGACGCCGCGUGGAGGAUGAAGGGCUUCGGCUCGUAAACUCCUGUCACCGACGAACAAGGCAUCCGGAUUAAUAAAUCGGAUGCUUGAUGGUAGUCGGAGAGGAAGGGGCGGCUAACUCUGUGCCAGCAGCCGCGGUGAUACAGAGGCCCCAAGCGUUGUUCGGAUUUACUGGGCGUAAAGGGUGUGUAGGGGGUCGUGUAAGUUUGACGUGAAAUCCCGUUGCUCAACAACGGAACUGCGUCGAAUACUGCUCGGCUGGAGGUUCGGAGAUGAGGGCGGAAUUCUCGGUGUAGCGGUGAAAUGCGUAGAUAUCGAGAGGAACGCCGAUGGCGAAAGCAGCCCUCAAGACGAAAUCUGACCCUGAAACACGAAGGCCAGGGGAGCAAACGGGAU
rnacentral:rRNA from 1 species